rnacentral:rRNA from 1 species
GAUUUCUGGUAUGGCGCAUUUGGCCCGCCUCGUUACGGGGUUGUGUGCCUGUAUGCGCCUGCCAUCCUUCUGGGGAACUAUCAUUAUGCGCUUCCUUCAUUGUGAAGACUUUUGGUAGGGAACCUGAUCAUUUACUUUGAAAAAAUUAGAGUGUUUCAAGCAGGCAUGUUGCUAUGAAUACAUUAGCAUGGAAUAAUAAUUUAGGACUUCGGUUCUAUUUUGUUGGUUUCUAGAACUGCAGUAAUGAUUGAUAGGGAUAGUUGGGGGUGCUAGUAUUCAGUGGCCAGAGGUGAAAUUCUCGGAUUCGCUGAAGACUAACUUAUGCGAAAGCAUU